rnacentral:rRNA from 1 species
AGAGUUUGAUCCUGGCUCAGGAUGAACGCUGGCGGCGCGCCUAACACAUGCAAGUCGAACGAGCGAGAGAGAGCUUGCUUUCUCAAGCGAGUGGCGAACGGGUGAGUAACGCGUGAGGAACCUGCCUCAAAGGGGGGGACAACAGUUGGAAACGACUGCUAAUACCGCAUAAGCCCACAGGUCGGCAUCGACCAGAGGGAAAAGGAGCAAUCCGCUUUGAGAUGGCCUCGCGUCCGAUUAGCUAGUUGGUGAGGUAACGGCCCACCAAGGCAACGAUCGGUAGCCGGACUGAGAGGUUGAACGGCCACAUUGGGACUGAGACACGGCCCAGGCUCCUACGGGAGGCAGCAGUGGGGAAUAUUGCACAAUGGGGGAAACCCUGAUGCAGCGACGCCGCGUGGAGGAAGAAGGUCUUCGGAUUGUAAACUCCUGUUGUUGAGGAAGAUAAUGACGGUACUCAACAAGGAAGUGACGGCUAACUACGUGCCAGCAGCCGCGGUAAACGUAGGUCACAAGCGUUGUCCGGAAUUACUGGGUGUAAAGGGAGCGCAGGCGGGAAGACAAGUUGGAAGUGAAAUCUAUGGGCUCAACCCAUAAACUGCUUUCAAAACUGUUUUUCUUGAGUAGUGCAGAGGUAGGCGGAAUUCCCGGUGUAGCGGUGGAAUGCGUAGAUAUCGGGAGGAACACCAGUGGCGAAGGCGGCCUACUGGGCACCAACUGACGCUGAGGCUCGAAAGUGUGGGUAGCAAACAGGAUUAGAUACCCUGGUAGU